rnacentral:rRNA from 2 species
UAAAUAAUUCUACUUUGAAACUGCGAAUGGCUCAUUAUAUCAGUUAUAGUUUAUUAGAAAAAAUGUACUACUUGGAUAACCGUAGUAAUUCUAGGGCUAAUACAUGAAUGAAUCCUCGACUUUGAAGAGGUGUGUUUAUUAGUAUGAAAACCAUAUGCUUCGGCAUGAUAGUGAGUAAUAAUAACCUUUCGUAUCGUAUGUUGACAUAACGAUAGUUCUUUCAAGUUUCUGCCCUAUCAGCUUUCGAUGGUAGUGUAUUGGACUACCAUGGCAGUAACGGGUAACGAAGAAUUUGGGUUCGAUUUCGGAGAGGGAGCCUGAGAGAUGGCUACCACAUCCAAGGAAGGCAGCAGGCGCGUAAAUUACCCAAUCCUGACAGAGGGAGGUAGUGACAAUAAAUCACAAUGCGGGACUAUUUAGUUUUGCAAUUGGAUUGAGAACAAUGUACAAGAGUUAUCGAUAAACAAUUGGAGGGCAAGUCUGGUGCCAGCAGCCGCGGUAAUUCCAGCUCCAAUAGCGUAUAUUAACGUUGUUGCAGUUAAAAA